UCCCCCCCGCCCCCCACCCCCCCAACCUUCGCCCUGCUGGCGAACACCGCUGGAGCACACGGGACAAACAGGUUUUAUGGAGUCGGGAUGCACGUUUGGCGACAUGAAAAAGAAAAAAAAAAAGACGCUGAAAUAAAAUAAAACAGUUUCAAAAGGGGCUUGGAACCAAACUGCAACAGCGCAACAGAAAUUGAAGGGGGAAGAAUCAUAUCACAGAAUUUUAAAGACUGCUUUUGGAUGUUCCAGAACUUCCGGAAUUCAGCGGAACACUGUGUGUGUGUGGCAGCAAGGGUGUCUCUGGACCUGGGCUGACAUCCUCCCCCCAAUGAACCUUUUUCAGACCGGGUGGGACCACUACAAAAAAAAAAAA